AUACAGGACCAAUGGUGCUGUGUUUGGAAUGAGUAUAAUUUAAAAACCUUAACGAGGAACCAUUGGAGGGCAAGUCUGGUGCCAGCAGCCGCGGUAAUUCCAGCUCCAAUAGUGUAUACUAAAGUUGCUGCAGUUAAAAAGCUCGUAGUUGGAUUUCGGUUAAUGAAAAGUUAGUCCACUUAAUAUAUAAGUGCGUACUGACGUUUUAUUUCCUUCUUUUCAGAUAUACAACUUGUUGUGUUCUGAAUCUUUUACUUUGAGAAAAUUAGAGUGUUCAAAGCAGGCGUAACCAAGCCUUUGAAUAUAUUAGCAUGGGAUAAUGGAAUAAGACUUUUUGCCUUAUUUUCGUUGGUUCUUGAGGCUAAAGUAAUGAUUAAUAGGGAUAGUUGGGGUCAUUAGUAUUUAAUUGUCAGAGGUGAAAUUCUAAGAUUUAUUAAAGACUAACUACUGCGAAAGCAUUUGACAAGGAUGUUUUCAUUAAUCAAGAACGAAAGUUGGGGGAUCGAAGAUGAUCAGAUACCGUCGUAGUCUCAACCAUAAACUAUGCCGACCAAGGAUUCGGGGGUGUUAUAUGAAUGACCCUCCGGGCACUUAUAGAGAAAUCAUAAGUAUUUGGGUUCCGGGGGGAGUAUGGUCGCAAGGCUGAAACUUAAAGGAAUUGACGGAAGGGCACCACCAGGAGUGGAAUAUGCGGUUUAAUUUGACCCAACACGGGAAAACUUACCAGGUCCAGACACAGUGAGGAUUGACAGAUUGAGAGCUCUUUCUUGAUUUUGUGGGUGGUGGUGCAUGGCCGUUUCUAGUUGGUGGAGUGAUUUGUCUGGUUAAUUCCGUUAACGAACGAGACCUUAACCUAUUAAAUAGUUACACAUACUUGGGAUUCGUCCUAAUAGUAUGUGGUUAACUUCUUAGAGGGACUCUUCACGUAAAGAGUGAAUGGAAGUUUGAGGCAAAAACAGGUCUGUGAUGCCCUUAGAUGUUCUGGGCUACACGCGUGUUACACUGAUAUAUUCAACAAGCAUUAUAAUUCCUUACCCGAUGGGGUUGGGUAAUCUUUUAAAUGUAUAUCGUGAUGGGGAUAGACCAUUGUAAUUAUUGGUCUUGAACGAGGAAUUCCUAGUAAGUGCAGGUCAUUAGCUUGCGCUGAUUACGUCCCUGCCCUUUGUACACACCGCCCGUCGCUCCUACCGAUGAAUGGUCCGGUGAGGACUCAGGAUGACCGUGGAUUUUGGUAUAAUAUACCAUGCCAUUGUUUGUCAGAAUCUGUUCAAACCUUAUCAU
rnacentral:rRNA from 1 species